GAUCCUCGGAUUCCAGACGACAGAGUUUGAGUCUUCAGAAUAUCAGGAGCUGAAAGAAGAAAUCGGCAAGAAUCAAGACAUGUUGCCUGACCUACGAGUGGAAGGGGAUGUGAUAUUCAAGCGGAUGGCUUACACGCAAAUGGACGACCAAGUGGAAGGGACCAUUUGGAAAUUAUGGAUUCCCGCGUCUCUGACGGAAACUCUUAUCUCCAAGGCCCACGAAGACCACACAGCUGGACACGGUGGACUUAAAAAGACCUUGCAUCGGCUAAGAAGGCAAUUCUACUGGCCAGCGAUGACGACACAAGUGCGGGAGUUUGUCCGGAACUGCGAUGCUUGUAAGGAGUCCAAAGCACCCAAUUAUCGAAGCCAGGUAGGGAUCGGUCAGGAAGUCGUAACGGAGAGGCCAUUCCAGAAAUUAUACAUCGAUUUCCUGGGAAAGUAUCCUCGGUCGAAAAGGGGACAAGCUUGGAUUUUUGUCGUCGUAGAUCACUUCUCUAAAUUCACCUUUCUCAGAGCGAUGAGAGAGGCGACCGCUGCGAACGUAGUUCAAUUCCUAGUACAGGAAGUGUUCUACAAGUUUGGGGUGCCCGAGGUGAUCCACUCCGACAACGGAAAGCAGUUCCUGUCGAAGAUCUUCCAGGACAUGAUGAGCACCUUCGGCGCCCGACAUCUGCGCACAGCAGUCUACUCACCACAGAGCAAUGCCGCCGAGAGGGUGAACCGGACAAUAUUAGCUGCAAUCAGGACGUAUUUAGAGAAGGAUCAUCGAGACUGGGAUAUGUACCUACCGGAGAUUGAAGUGUCGAUCCGUGACUCAGUGCACGAAGCCACAGGCGUGACGCCGUUUUUUGCAGUUUUUGGACAGCAAAUGUUCCUUAAUGGGAACUGCUAUAAGUUGGCGAGGAAGCUGCAGUCGCUGACGGAGCAUGAGGUGCACGCGUUGAACCCCGCGGAUAAGUGCCACAUCAUCCGGGAACGUAUCAAGGCCAACCUUCACCAAGCGUACGAGCGCAGCAGCCAGCGCUACAACAAACGGGCCCGAAUAUUUUUCGCCAAACCUGGGCAAGAAGUAUACAGACGCAACUUCACCCUCAGUGACUUUGGGAAGAGCUACAACGCCAAAUUCGCCCGGAAGUUCCUGAAGUGCCGAGUCGUACGUCCGGUUGGAAAUAAUGCCUACGAACUUGAAGACCUGGCGGGGAAACCGGUGGGGAUUUUUCACGCCAAAGACCUGAAAUUGUAGUGGGAAAGCUUUAGAAGGAGAAGGGAAGAAGAAUAGGGCACUCAUGUACAAACCGAGUGGGUGUGAGCCUACGUUGGGCGCUGCAAGACCUUAGGGCAAGCGUUAGGUUUCAAUGUCCUUCGAGUGUUUGCGAAUAAUUCUUCCGUCCAGGCACGCCUGAAUUUUCGCUAGGUGUUGCAUUCGAAGGAGAGCGAUAUGCAAAAUACUAGAUUUGGUAGUAUUUUUUUGGAGGUUGAUAGGUCGAUAGGCGAAGGGGCAAGGCGAUCAACGGUGCCGGUGAGAGAGCGGGAGAAUGUAAAGGAGGGGAAUAUUGCGGGAUCCACGAGCCAGCUCACCCACACCCUCAAGAAUGCCAUGCUAUGCCCUUGAAUUUGGUUCAAGGGCAGUAGAAGAGAUGAGAUCAACUGCAGCAAGGGGGACUGCGUAGAGUAGCUACGCUGAACAUGCCGGCAGUGGAAAAAUAGACAUCGGCAGUGUUAGUGAGUUUUGUGUGUGUGACCGUUUAGGAAAAAGAAAGACCGGCCAACGUAGAGGACCCUUUUACCCGAAUCGAAAUAAAAAGGCAUAAAUUGUAUCGGCUGGCUUCUCGUAGAUGGGCCAAAAUUACCAUUCCCCGGCCCGCGGAAUCCUGGUCACACCCCUGCUCGGGCGCGACCCGCCACACUUGUAGCUGCGACGUUGGCAGAGGCCUGGGACUUCGAGACGCACAUUUACCGCAAAUCCUCUCCCGUGUCUACAUAUAUGGUCAGGGAAAUGAUGGCAGUAAGACGAGAACUGUCGAUGAAUCGCUCUUGUUUCCUCUGAUGUGGCAACGCUUCCUUUGAUUUCUGCUCUGCACAACACUUCGCCCACGCGCUAAAUAACAUACAAAUUGGGCUAUUUUAUUA